GUAAAAUAGCUGGGCUGAGAUCACUGGGCUGAAAUAUAUCCAGCCCGACCCACACGCAGAGGUAGCCCUUCAGCCUGCGCUCUGUCGGGGAUGAAGGGGACAAGCCGGCGAUGCGAGGUCUGGCAGCUGGGCAGGAGAAAUGAGGUUAAGUGAGCAGCUGCCUCUGGGGACCCAUGUGGCCGGGGCAGGCGGCGGUCCCUCGGGCUGGGGAUGGGGCACUGGAUCCAUCCACAGGCCCCCUCUUCAAGCUGCUGUGUCUGAACCAAACCGCCGGAGGACCGGAAUCAGAGCAUGGUGUAGGUGAUGCUGAUUUUGGCUGCCGCCGCAGCUGUUGGGAGCAAUUCCCGUCGCUGUCGCAGGGCACCUGGGCUGAGGCUGCGCAGGAGCUAAAGCUUUCUCCCCUCUUUUCCUCCCCACAGGCAAAAAGAAAGCGACCUUGUUUGACAGCCAGGCUCCCAUCUGCCCCAUCUGCCAGGUCCUCCUUCGCCCCGGCGAGCUGCAGGAGCACAUGGAGCAGGAGCUGGAGAAGCUCACGCAGCUCAACAUCAGUAAGAACUCCAUCCUGAAGGAUGCCAUGGCAGCGGGUACCCCCAAGUCAAUUUUGUUGUCCGCCUCAAUCAAGCGGGAAGGAGAUUCUCCAACAGCAUCGCCCCACUCCUCGGAUGACAUCCAUCACUCGGACAGAUACCAGGUAAGCAGGCAGAUACAGUCAUUGGGCUUAGCCUUAGACAGGGAACCAGCUAGCCCAACGUCUGCAGCUCUCUGUGAGCGAGCGCACUGGCUCUCUGCUCCACACCGGUGCCCCAGUUCAUCUGCCUGUGGAGUGGGACAUCAACACUUUGUCUCCCACGUGGCUGCAAAGGCACAGUCCUCCCAGCUCUGAUUUUACACCACAGCUCUGCAAAACUACUUUAAAUCUUUGUAGUGGUUUUUGUUACAUUAUUAUUCAUCACACCUCUAGUUGUCAUGGCUAUGUUUGUCACUACCUAGCCCAUGCCACCGUGAAACUUUCAGAGAAGUGACUUUUCUGUAAAACAGUGAAUGAUGUCAGCCUGUAGCGGGAUAAAAUUCUCCGUUUCACUGGUCUGCCACUGGCCAGCAAACUGACUCGUGACUCUCAUCCAAAACCAGACAUAGUUUUGGAGCAUCUGUAGUCACGCCAGCAAGAAAACGCACUCUGCCCAGAGAAGCAGCAGGUCUUGCCUUGGUGCAAUUCAAUGAGUAAAGUUCAGGGAGAUGGAGCAAAGGAAGGAGAGAAAGGCAGCAGUAGGAGUACAGUUCUGCUUGUAAGUCUGUCUGCAUUUUUGGGGUAGACUGGAUCCCUUGACUCCAACUCAUCACACAUCCAAACUGUUUGGCUGCAAGCCUGUGCUCAGCCACUGGCUUCAAGUAAACUCCAAAAAGUAGCAGAUAAAAUAGCUGAAGUCUUUAGCAUGGACCUAAGCAUGCCUUCACCUGCCGUGUCGAUGGGCUGAGUGGGCCAUGGCUGUACCAGCUUGACAUAAAUCCAUCACCCUAAAUCCCCCAAUGCUUUGCCGUGAUAUCGUAUGCCCAAGACCAGGUAGACAGGUCAGGCCUUCCCACAUUGGCCAGCAUCAUGUGUGCCAGGGCUGCAUUUGGAUCUGCAGAGGCAGAGGCAGAUGACCAGCGCUAUGGGUCUAGCCAAGCAGCCUCAAUUAAAGCAUAUGUUCUUGAAGAUGGCCCCUGUUAGUAGCAGAUGUGUACAUUUGUUGCCCGUUACUCUGUCUUCUGUCCUCUUUACUGGUUAUCUUACCAAAUAUGGGCCAGAUCCUCCUCUGCCACGUAGUCCAGUGUAUAGUGAAGGUAAGAGCCUUUGGUUCCAAUUUGGUGGCACAUCACACGCACUUUACCCAUGUAUCAGUGAUGAAACCUGGUGCAAAGUAAAAGAAGCAAACCCUGCAGAAGACACAGGAAUGUGUGAUUCAGGUAAUUCUGCUCUCUUUUCUGCCUCUUUAUUAAGGCUGAUAAAUAAGUAAUAUUCUUCCCAAAAGGAUGGGGAAGAGAUUUUUGCAGUGACCCCUUUCAUUUGAGAACACCCCUCCCUUCCCGUUUCUCCUGACUUCAGUCUCUGUGAAAUUGGUGGUCCUUUGUAGUCCUCUGUUCCUAUAAAUUUUUAUUAUGUCAUACUUGAGGACAAAUAUUCACAGCAGAAGCCCCCUCUAUGUGCUGAGUCUAGCUAGACUCUAAUGUGUUUUAAGUUUGUGGGUGUAUUUUAUGGAGGGUUGCAGCCCUUAAUGCAAAUGCGUAAUGGGAGUUGUAAGUCUGCACUGCAGGGAGAAAAGACCUCUGGGGCCUGAUUUUCAUUUACCCUUAUGCUGCUUUAUGCUGCUCUGGCAGUGUAAAGGGAUCUUAGGGUGGGUGCCAGGGCUGUGUAAAGCCUCAGUGUAGCCUUCAUAAAAGCUACAGCAUGAAUGAGAAUUUAGUCCUUCUGGCUUAGCAAGCGAAACGCUCAGGAAGCAGAGCAGAAGACUCUCACUGGGACUUUAAGGGCUGCAAAAUUUAGCUUUCCAUAUGCAGAGAUGUGCUGGAAUUAUGAAUGUUCCUAAUGUUAUUUGUGAUCUAAUAGCAAACAUACACUGUAUUAGUAAAAUGCUAGAAUAUGAGUUAUUGAUGCAUAGGUUUUGAGAACUCCUGUGGCUUGGUUUUCUUAGUCCUCAUGCUUGCUUACCCUGUGAAUAUACAUGAAGUGUGAAAAAGGAGAUUUGUGAAUAGGAAAGCUACAGAAAUGCUGGAUUGCCCAUCACUUGGACUGUGUUUGCAUUGCUCCAGGGGCUGAGAGAGGGAGCCACAGCGGAGGCAGUGGGGCAGCUCCAAGACAUGGGGAGCUGGCUCUCCCCUGCCUCCCCUGUGCCCAGCCUGGUAGCUGGAGUUUGGUGUGUGAACACUGCUUCGACCAAGGUGAUGGAAGUUCGUGUAGCGCAGGACACUGUGGCAUGGGUCGAGUGGGGGUGCUCCUCCUAUAUACAGUGCAUCCUGUCACCCAGGGCUUUUCUUGUGCUGCAAGUGAAAAUAAAGCCCUUUCAGUGUCCUUUCUUGUAUCCA
ensembl:lncRNA